GACGAAGGGGGCUAGCGUUGUUCGGAAUUACUGGGCGUAACGCGAGUGUAGGUGGUUGUCCAAGUUGGAUGUGAAAGCCUUGAGCUCAACUCAAGAAAUGCAUUCAGGACUGGGCGGCUAGAGGACCGGAGAGGAUAGUGGAAUUCCCAGUGUAGUGGUGAAAUGCGUAGAGAUUGGGAAGAACACCAGUGGCGAAGGCGGCUAUCUGGACGGUUUCUGCCACUUAGACUCGAAAGCGUGGGGAGCAAACAUG
rnacentral:rRNA from 1 species